CACGUAGGAGGCGAGCGUUGUCCGGAAUCAUUGGGCGUAAAGAGCGCGCAGGCGGCUUGACAAGUCGGGUGUGAAAUCCCGGGGCUCAACCCCGGGACUGCAUUCGAUACUGUCAGGCUAGAGGUAGGUAGGGGAGAUCGGAAUUCCUGGUGUAGCGGUGAAAUGACGCAGAGUAUCAGGAGGAACACCGGUGGCGAAGGCGGAUCUCUGGGCCUUACCUGACGCUCAGGCGCGAAAGCUAGGGGAGCGAACAGG
rnacentral:rRNA from 1 species